rnacentral:tRNA from 1 species
GCUCAGUUGGUAGAGCGUGGCGCUUGCAAUGCCAGGGUUGUGGGUUUGAGUCACAU